rnacentral:rRNA from 1 species
GAUGAACGCUAGCGGCAGGCUUAAUACAUGCAAGUUGAGGGGCAGCAUGAUAUACGCGAGUAUAUUGAUGGCGACCGGCGGACGGGUGAGUAAUAGGUAGGAGACCUACCUCAUACAGGGGGAUAGCAUAGAGAAAUCUGUGGUAAUACCCCAUGAGGUUAUAUGAAUAGAGGCAUAUAAUCAAAGCAUAAGCGAUUAUGCGGUAUGAGAGGGGCCUACUAACCAUUAGCUAGUUGGUGAGGUAAGGGCUCACCAAGGCGAAGAUGGUUAGGGGUUUUGAGAGAGAGACCCCCCACAUUGGAACUGAGAGACGGUCCAGACUCCUACGGGAGGCAGCAGUAGGGAAUAUUCCGCAAUGGGGGAAACCCUGACGGAGCGACGCCGCGUGAGGGAAGAAGCCCUUCGGGGUGUAAACCUCUUUUCUCGGGGAAGAGUAGAGACGGUACCCGAGGAAUAAGCCCAGGCUAACCUCGUG